rnacentral:rRNA from 1 species
UGUGGCCUACGGGGGGCAGCAGUGAGGAAUAUUGGUCAAUGGCCGGAAGGCUGAACCAGCCAAGUCGCGUGAGGGAAUAAGGCCCUAUGGGUCGUAAACCUCUUUUGUCAGGGAGCAAAGGCGUCCACGUGUGGACGAGAGGAGAGUACCUGAAGAAAAAGCAUCGGCUAACUCCGUGCCAGCAGCCGCGGUAAUACGGAGGAUGCGAGCGUUAUCCGGAUUUAUUGGGUUUAAAGGGUGCGCAGGCGGAAGAUCAAGUCAGCGGUAAAAUUGAGAGGCUCAACCUCUUCGAGCCGUUGAAACUG